UGGUGGAGUGAUUUGUCUGGUUAAUUCCGUUAACGAACGAGACCCCUGCCUGCUAAAUAGUCUGCGUAGUGCUUGUCACUGCGUGAGGCUUCUUAGAGGGACGUGCAUUUUAUUAGAUGCAGGAAGAUAGGGGCAAUAACA
rnacentral:rRNA from 1 species